rnacentral:snRNA from 1 species
GUGCUUGCUUUGGCAGCACAUACUCUAAAAUUGGAACGAUACAGAGAAGAUUGGCAUGGCCCCUGCACAAGGAUGACAUGCAAAUUUGCGAAGCAUUCCAUAUUUUU